CAAAAAAAAACCUCAUAAUGAAGCAUUAGAUCUUGACAGAUAUACAUAUUUUUUUGUCAAAACAGAGAUACAGUUUCAAAUUUCUUUGGUUCUUCUCUUAAUGGCUCUCGGUAAAGCAGCUAUUAAAAAUUUAGUUUGUUAUUGUAAAAGCAAUAAGUAGCACAAAGCGAAUGCUUGUAUUGUUUGCAUCUAUUAGCUGUGUAAUCUACCUCAAAUAUCUGUGAUUCAAUAUGAAGUCAUAAGUAUGAUAGCGAUCUCUUUCUUCCCCCAUGAAGUUAUAUCAUAACUGGACCACACUUUCGACAAUCG
rnacentral:lncRNA from 1 species